UGGGGAAUUUUGCACAAUGGGGGAAACCCUGAUGCAGCGACGCCGCGUGCUUUAGAAGGCCUUCGGGUUGUAAAAAUCUUUUCUAUGGGAAGAAAAUGACAGUACCAUAGGAAUAAGGACCGGCUAAUUACGUGCCAGCAGCCGCGGUAAUACGUAAGGUCCGAGCGUUGUCCGGAAUCAUUGGGCGUAAAGGGUACGUAGGCGGGUAAGCAAGUUAGAAGUGAAAUCCUGUAGCUCAACUACAGUAAGCUUUUAAAACUGCUCAUCUUGAGAUAUGGAAGGGAAAGUGGAAUUCCUAGUGUAGCGGUGAAAUGCGCAGAUAUUAGGAGGAAUACCGGUGGCGAAGGCGACUUUCUGGCCAUAAUCUGACGCUGAGGUACGAAAGCGUGGGUAGCAAACAGG
rnacentral:rRNA from 1 species